GAUGGUCAAUUGUGAAUGACUUACCUAUUCUCAGCAAGGCAAAGAUUCAACAUGACUCCAAGGGACCGUGAUGAAAAAUGCUUUCCACCACCAUAGAAGGAACCGAUGGCAUCUGACUGCAGAUCAAAACCGUUGGAGAAGGAAAUGGCAAACCACUCCAUGAUCUCUACCAAGAAAACCCCAAAUCAGAUGGUGAAGAGUCAGACACCACUGGAUGAUAACAGCUUGAUUCUAAAGCGAGAAAUCUUUCCAGGUUUUGCCUUCUACUGCAAACAUGAUCCUUUGACACUUCAUCCUGUUUGACUCUGGUCCAUUUCUCCUGGUGGAGGAUUCCUGAUUAGUUAUCUCUGGCUGCUUCGGUGGAGAGCCCCAUCCAAUUUUCUCCAAAACCAUGGGUUUGAUAGUGAAGAUUGAGUCUGAGACACUCCUGCCACCUAGUGACAGCACCAUAAAAUUGCAGGUUUAUUACUAUUAUUAGUAUUAUUUUUAAGAAAGGUGGGUUCUCUGCAAACUUACAAUUAAGAAGUGAUAGCAAAAAUCAUAGCCCAUAAUGAACAAAUCAUGGCAUAUUGUGAAGAAAUUAU
rnacentral:lncRNA from 1 species